GACGCUCUAACCACUACACCACGGAGGCGGUUGCAAAGCAAUGACUACAGAAUGAAUAUAUUAGAAGAUAAACAUCAUGUGUUGGCCAAUUUCCGGGUGUUAUUGAGUAUUUGAAG